CGGCGAACGGGUGAGUAACACGUAGGUGAUCUGCCCAUCAGACGGGGACAACGAUUGGAAACGAUCGCUAAUACCGGAUAGGACGAAAGUUUAAAGGUGCUUCUGGCACCGCUGAUGGAUGAGCCUGCGGCGCAUUAGCUAGUUGGUAGGGUAAAGGCCUACCAAGGCGACGAUGCGUAGCCGACCUGAGAGGGUGAACGGCCACACUGGGACUGAGACACGGCCCAG
rnacentral:rRNA from 1 species